rnacentral:rRNA from 1 species
AGUGAACGCUGGCGGUAGGCCUAACACAUGCAAGUCGAACGGCAGCACAGUAAGAGCUUGCUCUUACGGGUGGCGAGUGGCGGACGGGUGAGGAAUACAUCGGAAUCUACUUUUUCGUGGGGGAUAACGUAGGGAAACUUACGCUAAUACCGCAUACGACCUACGGGUGAAAGCAGGGGAUCUUCGGACCUUGCGCGAUUGAAUGAGCCGAUGUCGGAUUAGCUAGUUGGCGGGGUAAAGGCCCACCAAGGCGACGAUCCGUAGCUGGUCUGAGGGGAUGAUCAGCCACACUGGAACUGAGACACGGUCCAGACUCCUACGGGAGGCAGCAGUGGGGAAUAUUGGACAAUGGGCGCAAGCCUGAUCCAGCCAUACCGCGUGGGUGAAGAAGGCCUUCUGGUUGUAAAGCCCUUUUGUUGGGAAAGAAAAGCAGCAGGUUAAUACCCCGCUGUUCUGACGGUACCCAAAGAAUAAGCACCGGCUAACUUCGUG